AUUUUCUCACCUGGUUCCCGCGGCGAGCCAGCGGCAGCGGCGGCGGCGAUGAGACAGAAGCACUACCUUGAGGCUGCAGCGCGGGGACUGCACGACAGCUGCCCGGGCCAAGCCCGCUACCUCCUGUAAGAGGACUGGAGGGGAAGCGGGAGGCGAGCGGGUAGGUGAUCCUUUGCUCCUCACAAGUCUCUUUCUCUUUUACAGCUGGGCCUACACUUCGUCGCACGGUAAGAAGAACGCCUGUCUCUUGUGCUUUGGGCUCUUGUCGCCCCGCUUUCCUCUGUUCCGCACAACGCUCAAAUAAGGCCGAUGGACUCACUCCCCUCCUUAAAAACAACAACAACAAAACCCGCAUGUGUCUCGGUUUCGUGAAAAAUCAAAAUUCUUUAAUGUGCCUUGUCUUGCUUUGUUAGCGGCAUUUGACACAUUGAUCAGUCUUGAAAUAGUUUCCUCCCUUGGCUUCUAGGUCAUUACGUAGUUCACCUCUUCAUUUAUUACUUCUCGAUUUGCUUUGUUGGUUCCUCCUAAUCUCCCCAAGCUUUAAGUAUUGUCGUGGCCCAGUACUCAGCCCUUGGACCUCUUUUCUAGGCACACUCGCUUCCUUGGUGACAGUUUUUCAUCCAAUCUCAUGGCUUUUAAAUACCAUAUACUGAGGACUUA
rnacentral:sRNA from 1 species